UCCCGAUUAGUUCAAUGGCAGAAUGCAGCCUUGUUUGUUGCAGAUACAGGUUCGAACCCUGUAUCGGGAG
rnacentral:tRNA from 1 species